CAGAGUUCUGCAGCACCCCCGCCUGCUCCGAGGGAAACAGUGACUGCUACUUUGGGAAUGGGUCAGCCUACCGUGGCACGCACAGCCUCACCGAGUCGGGUGCCUCCUGCCUCCCGUGGAAUUCCAUGAUCCUGAUAGGCAAGGUUUACACAGCACAGAACCCCAGUGCCCAGGCACUGGGCCUGGGCAAACAUAAUUACUGCCGGUAGGUAGCACAGGGGUUGGGGGUUCAGGUCUCGGCAGAACGUGGGAUUAGGGUGUGAGACGGGGGAAGAUCCGAUGUCUCAAGUUGCAUGACAGACCCAGUGCGUGGGAAGCACCCAUGGAUAUUAUCUAGUCCAACCUCUUCACUUGCUAGAAUAACACAUAUUGUGAAAAGCAAGGUCUACCAGUUUUCCAACCUAAAUCCCAAGUUAAGGGUCCUGGCCUGUAACCAUUUAGUCCUCAGCUGUUCUCAUGACAUCUUUAUUGCAAUGAUUUGUAAGAGUUCCGUAACAGGACAGCUCACAGUUCUGUCUGACAACCCUAUGAGAUUAGAACACUACAUUACUGACUGGAUAACAAAGUUAAAGAGAAGUUCUCCU
rnacentral:sRNA from 1 species